rnacentral:rRNA from 1 species
UGGGGAAUAUUGCACAAUGGGCGCAAGCCUGAUGCAGCCAUGCCGCGUGUGUGAAGAAGGCCUUCGGGUUGUAAAGCACUUUCAGCGAGGAGGAAGGUGGUGAGCUUAAUACGCUCAUCAAUUGACGUUACUCGCAGAAGAAGCACCGGCUAACUCCGUGCCAGCAGCCGCGGUAAUACGGAGGGUGCAAGCGUUAGUCGGAAUUACUGGGCGUAAAGCGCACGCAGGCGGUUUGUUAAGUCAGAUGUGAAAUCCCCGGGCUCAACCUGGGAACUGCAUUUGAAACUGGCAAGCUAGAGUCCCGUAGAGGGGGGUAGAAUUCCAGGUGUAGCGGUGAAAUGCGUAGAGAUCUGGAGGAAUACCGGUGGCGAAGGCGGCCCCCCUGGACGAAGACUGACGCUCAGGUGCGAAAGCGUGGGGAGCAAAACAGGAUUAGAGUACCCUGGUAGUCCACGCUGUAAACCGAUGUCGAUUUGGAGGUUGUGCCCUUGAGGCGUGGCUUCCGGAGCUAACGCGUUAAAUCGACCGCCUGGGGAGUACGGCCGCAAGGUUAAAAC